rnacentral:lncRNA from 1 species
UCACAAGGAAAAAUCAUGAUUCAUUUAGAAAAUCUCCUCUUAUAAAAAUAUCAAGUAGAAUCGUUGGAGAUCGAUUAACAAGAAAUUUUGAUUCAUAAUAAAAUCUCAUGUAUCGAAUGUCGAGAAAUCAAAAUGAUGAUUUAUAUAAAAAAUAUCACAAGUUAUAUUCAAGAGAAAAAUUAUCAUUCUUUUCCAACUCAUUCAAUUUGUCAAAUCAACAUUUCUUAGAUAUGUAUGAUACCAAAACAUGGUUUCAAAUGUUUGACAUAU